AUGCCGCGGCAGCGACGCACAGAGACACUUCCCCGCGGCCGCGGGGGCAAGAAGCUGAAGGCGGCCGGAGAUUUAUUUAUUCCUACGAAGCCUCCGUCGGUGUACAUGGUGGUAGGCCAUGAUGUCACUCGCCCUGCCUACUCCGUAAUUAAGGUGAACACCUUCCCUGACGGUGGCAGCGGCGGCGACACUCCGAUACCUAUUCCAGGACAUCUCGCCCGCCUUGAGGCCAAACACUGCAUGUCUUUCGUCCCCGUGCGGUCGAGGCACGGCUCGUGGAUCGUCGGCGUCGGUGGCAAUUCACCAAUUGAUUAUGGCCCCGAGACCAUCGUCUUCGACACCAGUACACACCAGGUGAUCCCGGGACCGAAGCUUGUGUCGACUAAGCUCCGCCCGAUCCUGCUACCGGUCGGCGACAAGAUAUAUGCCUUGACACGUCAACCUGCCAUUAAGGGGGGUGUUAAUUUCGUGCCCUGGUUCGAGGUGCUCGAUCUCUCCCAAGCUCGAGUGGUCAGUGGCCGUCUCGUGGACUGCAAAUGGGAGCAACUACCCCGGCCGCCCUGCUUCCCCUGGGAACUCUCCCCAAGGCAGUACAUCUUCCCACCGGUGGUCAGGGUUAAGUCUUAUGUAGCUGUGAGCUCCUACAUUCUGGUGUCGAUGGAUGGACAGGCAGGCACACAUAUCUUCAACUUGAAGACAGAGCAAUGGUCGAAAUUGGAUGACAAUGUUCUGCCAUUCACUGGAGGCGCCGUACCACAUGGCCCCCUCUUCCUUGGCUUUUCAAGCGCUGCCAAAAAGAUCACUGCUUACAGCAUCACAGUCUGUGCCGCGGUGUCACCAAGCCCAAGCAUCACAGCAGGGUGCCCAUCCUUAUCAAUUGUUGAGUUCCCGAUAGUUGAUGAGGCAGAGGAGGAGGUCGUUAGCCGUGGCAAAUUUGUUUCCCUUGGUAACCAUGGCUUCUGUUCGUUUAUGUGUCGCAACGAUGACCUUAUGCUAGGUACUCUUGAGCAUACACAGGAACUUAUCACCAUGAGAGCAUACACAACAGAGGACCACCACCUCUCACAAGACCACCCCAAGUCUAUUUGUCACAUAGUGAUCUCCAAUCAAGUGGAACAGGUUUACAGCAUCCGCGAUUCACUCCGGGGACUUACUUGGCCAUCCCUGGUAGAUGUGAUAUCCUUAUGA
rnacentral:rRNA from 1 species